UGAGGAUACAACAAGAAGCCUAUGACCCUCACUCAACCAUGCUGGAACCCUGAUCUUGGACUACCAGACUCCAGAACUGAAAAGAAACUGAAACAGAAGACAAGAUCACACAUUUUGAAAGAAACCAGCCCAAGGCAAAAAUAAAGUUGGAAAAAAAUUUCAAAGGAAGAGUCUCCUUUCAACAUUUUUCAAUCAUCGUGUACUAAGUACCCACAAGGCACUGGCACUCUGUGAGGCAUUAGGGUGUAGAAAGAUAAAAAUCUGGACAAAAAUCAUCAUCUUGGCACUAGAAGAAUUUAAAGGACAGCUUACACACUUAACUAUCAAAUUUUCUUCAGAAUUUUCUGGUUUCUGACAUCUGUCCUUAAGGGAGAGUUAUGUACACAGAGAAAUA